rnacentral:tRNA from 1 species
GCCCUCGUAGUUCAGCUGAAUAGAACGCACCCCUCCUAAGGGUGAGGUCACAGGUUUGAAUCCUGUCUUGGGCGCCA